UCAAGUAAAUUAUAUAUACUUGUUUUAAAAUUGUUCUAUUUCCUGGUAUAAGCUUAAGCAUGUUAAGCAAAGCAAGUUACGGCCAUUUUGUAACUGGUCACAUGACUUGACUGGUCGCCAUUUUGCUAAAGUUAAAAAAGAAUACUUAAACCGCCAUCUUGACUAAAGGUGACCACAUGAAAAUUAGAGUUUAAAAUGUCAGACAGACUGCCAGAUCCUGACAGUGACCCAAAGUCUCCAAAGAAGAUUACGAGGCACCUCAGUUCCUGCACCUGGACCAGUGAGCGAGAUGCUCAGAUGUGAAACCUGCCGCCUGCCAGAACCUGGCCGAGAAUGUGGACAAAGCUGCUGGACACUGGAAAAUUGAUUGCACCCCUUUGCCUAGACAAAACAAGGUCAGUCUUUUCCAUGUCCCUCUUCCACAGAGAGGAAAAAAAACUCUCACAGUAUAGGCCUGGCGAAGAUUGCUGUUCUUUGAGACACCUGCCUCCAGCGGUAAUGGAGAAACUUGG
rnacentral:lncRNA from 1 species